UGGGGAAUUUUGGACAAUGGGCGAAAGCCUGAUCCAGCCAUGCCGCGUGAGUGAAGAAGGCCUUCGGGUUGUAAAGCUCUUUCGCGAGGGAAGAAAACGUAUUCGCUAAUACCGGAUGCGGAUGACGGUACCUUGAUAAGAAGCACCGGCUAACUACGUACCAGCAGCCGCGGUAAUACGUAGGGUGCGAGCGUUAAUCGGAAUUACUGGGCGUAAAGCGUGCGCAGGCGGUUUUGUAAGACAGGCGUGAAAUCCCCGGGCUCAACCUGGGAAUGGCGCUUGUGACUGCAAGGCUUGAGUAUGGCAGAGGGGGGUAGAAUUCCACGUGUAGCAGUGAAAUGCGUAGAGAUGUGGAGGAAUACCGAUGGCGAAGGCAGCCCCCUGGGUCAAUACUGACGCUCAUGCACGAAAGCGUGGGGAGCAAACA
rnacentral:rRNA from 1 species